UACGGAGGGUGCGAGCGUUAUCCGGAUUCACUGGGUUUAAAGGGUGCGUAGGUGGGUUUGUAAGUCAGUGGUGAAAUCUCCAGGCUUAACCUGGAAACUGCCAUUGAUACUAUAGAUCUUGAAUUUUCUGGAGGUAAGCGGAAUAUGUCAUGUAGCGGUGAAAUGCUUAGAUAUGACAUAGAACACCAAUUGCGUAGGCAGCUUACUACACGAUCAUUGACGCUGAGGCACGAAAGCGUGGGGAGCAAACAGG
rnacentral:rRNA from 1 species